rnacentral:rRNA from 1 species
GACGAACGCUGGCGGCGUGCUUAACACAUGCAAGUCGAACGGAAAGGCCCUUCGGGGUACUCGAGUGGCGAACGGGUGAGUAACACGUGGGUGAUCUGCCCUGCACUUUGGGAUAAGCCUGGGAAACUGGGUCUAAUACCGGAUAGGACCACGGCAUUCAUGUGCUGUGGUGGAAAGCGUUUGCGGUGUGGGAUGGGCCCGCGGCCUAUCAGCUUGUUGGUGGGGUAAUGGCCUACCAAGGCGACGACGGGUAGCCGGCCUGAGAGGGUGACCGGCCACACUGGGACUGAGAUACGGCCCAGACUCCUACGGGAGGCAGCAGUGGGGAAUAUUGCACAAUGGGCGCAAGCCUGAUGCAGCGACGCCGCGUGAGGGAUGACGGCCUUCGGGUUGUAAACCUCUUUCGCCAGGGACGAAGCGCAAGUGACGGUACCUGGAGAAGAAGGACCGGCCAACUACGUG